AUACGGAGGGUGCAAGCGUUGCUCGGAAUCACUGGGCGUAAAGGACGCGUAGGCGGGUUUGUAAGUCAGGUGUGAAAUCCUACAGCUCAACUGUAGAACUGCGCUUGAAACUACAGACCUAGAGUAUGGAAGGGGCAGAUGGAAUUAGUGGUGUAGGGGUAAAAUCCGUAGAUAUCACUAGGAAUACCGAAAGCGAGGGCGAUCUGCUGGGACAUUACUGACGCUGAGGCGUGAAAGCGUGGGGAGCAAACAGGAUUAGAAACCCGAGUAGUCC
rnacentral:rRNA from 1 species